GACGAACGCUGGCGGCGUGCUUAACACAUGCCAGUCGAGCGGAAAGGCCCUUCGGGGUACUCGAGCGGCGAACGGGUGAGUAACACGUGAGUAACCUGCCCCAGACUUUGGGAUAACCCUCGGAAACGGGGGCUAGUACCGGAUACGACACAGCUUCGCAUGGGGUCUGUGUGGAAAGUUUUUCGGUUUGGGAUGGGCUCGCGGCCUAUCAGCUUGUUGGUGGGGUGAUGGCCUACCAAGGCGACGACGGGUAGCCGGCCUGAGAGGGCGACCGGCCACACUGGGACUGAGACACGGCCCAGACUCCUACGGGAGGCAGCAGUGGGGAAUAUUGCACAAUGGGCGGAAGCCUGAUGCAGCGACGCCGCGUGAGGGAUGACGGCCUUCGGGUUGUAAACCUCUUUCAGCAGGGACGAAGCGUAAGUGACGGUACCUGCAGAAGAAGCGCCGGCCAACUACGUG
rnacentral:rRNA from 1 species